rnacentral:tRNA from 1 species
GGCCUGCUAGUUCAGUCGGUUAGAGCGUCGUGCUAAUAACGCGAAGGUCGUAGGUUCGAUCCCUGCGCAGGCCA